ensembl:lncRNA
UUUAUAUGCGCUGAGAUCUGCUGUGUCUCUACUGUGUCUUUAUUUAAAAUUUAGGGAAACAGGUGUGUGUAGGAGAAGAGAAAGAGUAAUCCUCUUCUGAGUUCUGAGGAAGAAGUGUCACCAGAGCCUGUACAAAAAAAAACAGAGGGGGAUGAAGAAAGACCAACCUAGAUGGGUUUAAAGUGAUCAGAGUUAGUUGUGCUAGGCUUGAGAGGCGGAAGUGAAGAAGGAAUCCACGUAGUUCUUGCUCCUGUAUCUAUUCAAAGUCUUUAGCUGCUCCUACUCUGCCGGUGACAUUUGAUAACAGGUUUGCAGCUGUCCAGACAACAAGAAAUGUUUUGCAUGAUCUGCCAGUUGUGAGGACGCUGAGCACAUUUGAACAUCCACUGAACAAAUAAAGCCUAGUCUCAUCGGACGCCACUGGGCAGCACCAUGACAGUUCUGUCUCAUUCCUCAGUCCAAAUGGUAACAAGGGUACCUGUGUGCUGUGGAAACAUCAGGUGGGAAUUCCUGCGCCUCAUUAGCAUGUUUGUGUCCCUGCUUAGACAACCAGGGACUUCCCUUUGGGCAAAGUUUUCUUGUCUUGCCAACUCAGACAGGACUUCUGUUUAUAGGCAAAAUUUACUUUUUCAACUCUAUGAGUGGUAAGAGAAUGAAUCAUAUUGCAGCUGGGAAGCUUGUCAGUUGGUGUUUACAAAAAUUCAUUUCUAUUUCAAUUCAAUUCAAUUCUAGGAAAAAGAAACCUUUACAGGAAAAAUAAAGCACUUUGGAAUAAAAGGGUAAAAUAAAAGUCUUCCAUCUACAAGAAUAUCAUAAUAGAGGGCUUUUUUUGUUUUGUUUUGUUUCGAUUUUGGGUUUUUUUUGGUCAAUCAGAGCCUUGAAUAGCUGCAUGCAAUUCCAAGAAACAGAGGUCAGAUUACAUAUCUGGUGAUUCUACAGUCCUUGAAGUCUGCAUGUAAGUAGAUUAGGGGGGAGGUGGGGAUUUGGGCUCUUCUCAGCUGAAUGACUGAGUUUGUAACAGGAAAAGAUUCCUGGCUCCACUUUCUGUAUCUAAAACAUUUCAGUCACCAGGGCUGACAGGUUCUUUCCCAUCAGAUCAUAUCACUGACUUUCACCAGUGGAUUCACACCUUAUCUACUUUGUAUAUGACAUGCUAAUGACAGCCCACCUUUAAAACAGGCAUUUAUGAGUCACCUGCCAUUCAGCCGUGCUCUCCAAAGCCACACUUUGAAGACAUAAGACAUGGCCGUGAAGAAAUGCUCUUAAAAUCUCUGAAUCAUUUCCCCUGAUGCUAACACUCUUGAGCAUUCUGAAAAUGCUGCAAGUUUCUGGAGCAGUGCAGCUUGAUUUAAACACAGCAACCAUACCUCUCCCUGGCUCAGAAUGGUUUUAUUUCCUUUGGGCUGAUAACUUUGACCAGUACCCCUGAAAGAACAAGGCAGGUCUCAGGGCAAUGUGCCUAGUGCCUCGGUGCAGCCUGCCAAGCUGGAGAAUCUCACAUGUUUUCCUAUUUUAGGAGAUGUUAAAAACUGUAUGUGUAUAUAUAUAUAUAUAUAUAUAUGUAUGUAUAACUACUCACAUGCCUGCAAACGUGCAAUUUCAUACCAUCAUUCUGUGAAAUACUCUUUUGCCUUCCAGCUUGUUUUCACAUGGUGACACAACAGAGCACACGUUUUCAGUACUUGUAGCAAGAAUUUCCUGAAUGAAUUCACUGCUGCCAGCUUCCUGAAAGCACGCUGUAAUCAAUUCUCUACAGCAGGCAUUUAAAACUCUCCAUGCUUCUAAUGAGGCUUGCAUAGUUUCAAAUGGAAGAGAAAUAAAAUAAUAAAAUAAAAUAAAAUAAAAGCCUUUUUAGGUAUGUAACUCUUUCCACACAUACCCCUUGAGUUUUGCAUAGCAAGAUUGUGCUUUGAAUUGAUCAGAUUAGGCUAGGAUCAGGUGGCACUGCCAUGCAUUAAUGCAAUGUGAUGCUGGCUGUGCUGAAGAUGAUUCAUUAGAGGCAAUGAGUUAACGUUAUAAUACUGACUCUUCAGUUCCUGCUGUUUUCAUUAGGAGGCCAAAUUUCCAAGGUAUUUUUUAUGAUUUGAGUUAUAAGACAAAUAGAUUAAAUCUGCACAGGGACUCCAGGAAGACCAGCACUCCGCUUACAUCCCACUUAAGCUGUGUUUUGAACGUCUUGGUAGUCUGUAUUGAUUUAGGGGAAGAAUCACAGCCAUUUUUUAUAUUAAUGAGAAAUAAAGCCACUGUGCACGUGGUGUGU